CAGCAGGCCUUGCAGGGCGGGGAGAUUGUUGUGGUCUGUUACUUAUUAACAUCAAUCCUUUACUAACUGCCUCUUUCUUUUUUUUGGUACUUCCAUAUUUUUGAGCGAUUCCUCCUUUCUACAAGGCAACAAGCAGCCUUUGAGGAUACCACUCUCCAGCAUCUUCAUGAAGUCAAGUUUGACCUGGAAAAGACACAGAAAAGGGAAAAACAAACCCUGAAUUUAACACUUUCAGAACAAUCUCAGACACUACAGAUAAAAAAGGGCAUUCUGCUUUGAAUGACAACAUGCGUCUAAUUAGACUUCUUGCUCAGCAGGGGGCAGUAUGUCACCUCGGGAAUGUCCACCAUCCUCCUGAGCUUCUGGUCCCUCCAGUUCCAAUCCAGAACCAUGUAUUUCAGUGACUGUAAGUUCAAACCGUCUGUAAUAAUAACCAGAGUUUACACACAUUAGGAAGACAUUUAAAGCCCUGAGAGGAUUUAUUUUUAUUGUAUUUAUUUCAUUGUAAAGCACUUUGUGAUUUUUUUUUUCCUGUUAAAAGGUGCUAUAUAAAUACUUACUUACGGACUUAAAAAACAGUCAGACUCAUGUCGUCAACUGCCUUUAGAAGUACACCGACUAAUGGGUUAGGCUUAUUGACUGAGCACAUUUUUGCAGAUUUUUCCAAAUAAUCAGCAGUAACCGAUUAUCAUUUAAAAAUCAAAGUCCUGAUAAUUGUGUGUAUAUAUAUGUGUGUGUUUGUAUAUACAGUAUAUGUAUGCAUUAGUGCUGUCAACAUUAACGCGUUCAACGCUGUUUGUUUACUUCUGGUGGCGACG